CUGCUAGAGCAUAUGCCAUCCGCGCACGAGAGGAGGCAUCCUCCCCUGACGUUAUCACUGGUUCCUUGGGCUCGUCUCCUUUUGGGUGUUCGUAACCGUCAACGAAGUCAUCACACCGGCGAGCAAUCUUUGGUAUUAUCUUCUUAGUCGACUUAGGAGAACAUUUGGCAUGUAUGAGCUAUUUUGUUUUGUUAAAUUUUGGGUUGUAAACUUUAAGCCAUGUGAAAAUGGCCUAUGUGGUCGUUUGAGUGGGAUGCUAGAAUCUAUAGCCACGAGUCUUAGAAACCUUAAUUUUGAUAAGGUGGCCAUAAUUUGUGUCACGUAUGAUGGAUGAGUAGUAAGACUAAGGAAGGAUUCAUGAAA